CCUACGGGUGGCUGCAGUGGGGAAUUUUCCGCAAUGGGCGAAAGCCUGACGGAGCAAGACCGCGUGGGGGAAGAAGGCUCUUGGGUUGUAAACUCCUUUUCUCUGGGAAGAACAAAAUGACGGUACCAGAGGAAUCAGCAUCGGCUAACUCCGUGCCAGCAGCCGCGGUAAGACGGAGGAUGCAAGCGUUAUCCGGAAUGAUUGGGCGUAAAGCGUCCGCAGGUGGCAGUUCAAGUCUGCUGUCAAAGACCGGGGCUCAACCUCGGAAAGGCAGUGGAAACUGAACAGCUAGAGUAUGGUAGGGGCAAAGGGAAUUCCUGGUGUAGCGGUGAAAUGCGUAGAGAUCAGGAAGAACAUCGGUGGCGAAGGCGCUUUGCUGGACCAUAACUGACACUCAGGGACGAAAGCUAGGGGAGCGAAUGGGAUUAGAUACCCCAGUAGUC
rnacentral:rRNA from 1 species